CCUACGGGUGGCUGCAGUGAGGAAUAUUGGUCAAUGGACGAGAGUCUGAACCAGCCAAGUAGCGUGAAGGAUGACUGCCCUAUGGGUUGUAAACUUCUUUUAUCUGGGACUAAAAUGUUCCACGUGUGGGAUUUUGUAUGUCCCAUAUAAAUAAGAAUCGGCUAACUCCGUGCCAGCAGCCGCGGUAAUCCGGAGGAUCCGAGCGUUAUCCGGAUUGAUUGGGUUUAAAGGGAGCGUAGGUGGAUUGUUAAGUCAGUUGUGAAAGGUUGCGGCUAAACCGUAAAAGUGCAGUUGAAACUGGCAGUGUUGAGUACAGUAGAGGUGGGCGGAAUUCGUGGUGUAGCGGUGAAAUGCAUAGAUAGCACGAAGAACUCCGAUUGCGAAGGCAGUUCACUGGACUGCAACUGACACUGAGGCUCGAAAGUGUGGGUAUCAAACAGGAUUAGAUACCCUUGUAGUC
rnacentral:rRNA from 1 species